rnacentral:rRNA from 1 species
ACCAGACUCCUACGGGAGGCAGCAGUGGGGAAUAUUGCACAAUGGGGGAAACCCUGAUGCAGCGACGCCGCGUGAGUGAAGAAGUAUUUCGGUAUGUAAAGCUCUAUCAGCAGGGAAGAAAAUGACGGUACCUGAUUAAGAAGCCCCGGCUAACUACGUGCCAGCAGCCGCGGUAAUACGUAGGGGGCAAGCGUUAUCCGGAUUUACUGGGUGUAAAGGGAGCGUAGACGGUGAUGCAAGUCAGAAGUGAAAGCCCGGGGCUCAACUCCGGGACUGCUUUUGAAACUGUGUGACUGGAGUGCAGGAGAGGUAAGCGGAAUUCCUGGUGUAGCGGUGAAAUGCGUAGAUAUCAGGAGGAACACCAGUGGCGAAGGCGGCUUACUGGACUGUAACUGACGUUGAGGCUCGAAAGCGUGGGGAGCAAACAGGAUUAGAUACCCGCGUA